rnacentral:lncRNA from 1 species
CCAGCAGAGGCAACCCAGUCGGGUCUCCUUCCAUGCUGUGGUAGAUCUUCCAUGCUGUGGUAGAUUUGUUCUUUUGCUCUUUGCAAUGAAUUUUGCUGCUGCUCACUUUUUGGGUCCACCUGUGAGCUGUAACACUAACCAUGAAGGGCUGCAGCUUCACUCCUGAGGCCAGCGAGACCAUGAACCCACGGGAAGGAACGAAGAAGUUCAGAUGCGCCGCUUUUAAGAGCUGUAACGCUCACUGCGAAGGUCUGCAGCUUCACUUCUGAAGUCAGUGAGACCACGAACCCACCAGUAAGAAGAAACUCCAGACACACCACAUUUAAGAACUGUAAGACUCACUGUGAGGGUCCAUGCCUUCAUUCUUGAGGUCAGCGAGACCAAGAACCCACCAAUUCUGGACACAGUAUCAGCAUAAUCAAUGUUAACAAGUAACUCUUUGUCCAUAUAUUUUACUUUAUAUUGAGGAAAGUAACUGGUACCCUCUACAGCAACACUGCUUCACCAGACACCAUUUAUAGUCUACAAAGUGACACACAUCUAUCAAGUGUGAAGAAAGGUUUUCUGCAGAGCUGUGUCACACCUGAUCACCUGUGCACUAAAUAGCAAAUUUAUUCCAAGACCAGCAACGUGAAGCCAUCUGACAACCUGAAGCCAUCUGAGAUACUGGAAAGAGCAUCAGAAAAUUCGAACAGAACUGCCAUCCAAGUAGAAAUCACUGGACCAUACUAUUCACCUAAUUACUUCUAUUUACUAUUUCCGUCUCUAUUUACUACUUAAAAGAAGUAUGAGUUAAAAAUGUAAAAUAAAGCUGCAAUUUUUAAUUAUGAAAAUAAAACUUGUUAAAU